CCUACGGGUGGCAGCAGUGGGGAAUAUUGCGCAAUGGGGGCAACCCUGACGCAGCAACGCCGCGUGAUUGAAGAAGGCCUUCGGGUUGUAAAGAUCUUUUAUUGGGGACGAAUUUUGACGGUACCCGAAGAAUAAGCUCCGGCUAACUACGUGCCAGCAGCCGCGGUAAUACGGAGGAUGCGAGCGUUAUCCGGCUAUAUGGGGUUUAAAGGGUGCGCAGGCGGAAGAUCAAGUCAGCGGUAAAGUUGUGAGGCUAAACCUCAACGUGCCGUUGAAACUGGUUUUCUUGAGUAAGCGAGAAGUAUGCGGAAUGCGUGGUGUAGCGGUGAAAUGCAUAGAUAUCACGAAGAACUCCGAUUGCGAAGGCAGCAUACUGGCGCUCAACUGACGCUCAUGCACGAAAGUGUGGGUAUCGAACAGGAUUAGAUACCCCAGUAGUC
rnacentral:rRNA from 1 species